UACGUAGGGUGCGAGCGUUGUCCGGAAUUAUUGGGCGUAAAGGGCUCGUAGGCGGUUUGUCGCGUCGGGAGUGAAAACUCAGGGCUUAACCCUGAGCCUGCUUCCGAUACGGGCAGACUAGAGGUAUGCAGGGGAGAACGGAAUUCCUGGUGUAGCGGUGAAAUGCGCAGAUAUCAGGAGGAACACCGGUGGCGAAGGCGGUUCUCUGGGCAUUACCUGACGCUGAGGAGCGAAAGCUGGGGGAGCAAACGGG
rnacentral:rRNA from 1 species